rnacentral:rRNA from 1 species
GAUGAACGCUGGCGGCGUGCCUAAUACAUGCAAGUCGAGCGAACAGACGAGGAGCUUGCUCCUCUGACGUUAGCGGCGGACGGGUGAGUAACACGUGGAUAACCUACCUAUAAGACUGGGAUAACUUCGGGAAACCGGAGCUAAUACCGGAUAAUAUAUUGAACCGCAUGGUUCAAUAGUGAAAGACGGUUUUGCUGUCACUUAUAGAUGGAUCCGCGCCGCAUUAGCUAGUUGGUAAGGUAACGGCUUACCAAGGCAACGAUGCGUAGCCGACCUGAGAGGGUGAUCGGCCACACGGGAACGGAGACACGGGCCAGACUCCUACGGGAGGCAGCAGUAGGGAAUCUUCCGAAAUGGGCGAAAGCCUGACGGAGCAACGCCGCGUGAGUGAUGAAGGUCUUCGGAUCGUAAAACUCUGUUAGUAGGGAAGAACAAAUGUGUAAGUAACUAUGCACGUCUUGACGGUACCUAAUCAGAAAGCCACGGCUAACUACGUG